rnacentral:rRNA from 1 species
AGGACGAACGCUGGCGGCGUGCCUAACACAUGCAAGUCGAGCGAGGAGAUCCUUCGGGAUGAUCCUAGCGGCGGACGGGUGAGUAACACGUGGGCAACCUGCCUCAUAGAGAGGAAUAGCCUUCCGAAAGGGAGAUUAAUACCUCAUAACAUUGCAGUUUCGCAUGAAACAGCAAUUAAAGGAGCAAUCCGCUAUGAGAUGGGCCCGCGGCGCAUUAGCUAGUUGGUGAGGUAACGGCUCACCAAGGCGACGAUGCGUAGCCGACCUGAGAGGGUGAUCGGCCACAUUGGGACUGAGACACGGCCCAGACUCCUACGGGAGGCAGCAGUGGGGAAUAUUGCACAAUGGGGGAAACCCUGAUGCAAGCAACGCCGCGUGAGUGAUGACGGCCUUCGGGUUGUAAAGCUCUGUCUUCAGGGACGAUAAUGACGGUACCUGAGGAGGAAGCCACGGCUAACUACGUGCCAGCCGCUGC